AUGAACGCUGGCGGCGUGCCUAAUACAUGCAAGUCGAACGCACAGCGAAAGGUGCUUGCACCUUUCAAGUGAGUGGCGAACGGGUGAGUAACACGUGGAUAACCUACCUCAAGGUUGGGGAUAACAUUUGGAAACAGAUGCUAAUACCGAAUAAAACUUCGUAUCGCAUGAUACAAGGUUAAAAGGCGCUACGGCGUCACCUAGAGAUGGAUCCGCGGUGCAUUAGUUAGUUGGUGGGGUAAAGGCCUACCAAGACAAUGAUGCAUAGCCGAGUUGAGAGACUGAUCGGCCACAUUGGGACUGAGACACGGCCCAAACUCCUACGGGAGGCUGCAGUAGGGAAUCUUCCACAAUGGGCGAAAGCCUGAUGGAGCAACGCCGCGUGUGUGAUGAAGGCUUUCGGGUCGUAAAGCACUGUUGUAUGGGAAGAACAGCUAGAGUAGGGAAUGACUUUAGUUUGACGGUACCAUACCAGAAAGGGACGGCUAAAUACGUG
rnacentral:rRNA from 1 species